rnacentral:rRNA from 1 species
UACGGAGGGGGCUAGCGUUGUCCGAAGUUACUGGGCGUAAAGCGCGCGUAGGCGGGUUGGUAAGUCCGCUGUGAAAGCCCGGAGCUUAACUCCGGAGGGUCGGUGGAUACUGCCAGUCUUGAAGGUGCUAGGGGGAGAUGGAAUUACCGGUGUAGCGGUGAAAUGCGUAGAUAUCGGUAGGAACACCAGUGGCGAAGGCGGUCUCCUGGGGCAUUCUUGACGCUGAGGCGCGAAAGCUAGGGGAGCAAACAGG